UACAGAGGGUGCAAGCGUUAAUCGGAAUCACUGGGCGUAAAGCGUGCGUAGGUGGUCAUGCAAGUCGGGUGUGAAAUCCCCGGGCUUAACCUGGGAACUGCAUUCGAUACUACAUGGCUAGAAUAUGGUAGAGGGAAGUGGAAUUUCCGGUGUAGCGGUGAAAUGCGUAGAUAUCGGAAGGAACACCAAUGGCGAAGGCAGCUUCCUGGACCAAUACUGACACUGAGGCACGAAAGCGUGGGUAGCAAAC
rnacentral:rRNA from 1 species